ncrna:Canis lupus familiaris (dog) microRNA cfa-mir-8908b precursor
CUGUGUGCAGUGCUUUAUUCAGGGAGGUGCUAAUGACGUCACCUUAGAGUGAUUAGUUCCUGCCUGGAUACAGGAAUGCUCACAAA